GGGCGGUUGGCGCAAUUGGUUAGCGCGCCUGAUUUACAUUCAGGAGGUUUACUGGUUCAAGUCCAGUACCGCCCACCA
rnacentral:tRNA from 2 species